UUAGUUACUCCAGAAGGUGACAAACAGAAAACCCACAAAAUUUCGCCUAAUCCGCUAAUAGAAAUGCUCGAAUAUUAAGAUAUAAACAAAUAUUAAAUGAUUUUUGUAUUACGAAACGUACGCCAACUCUUAAACCACUGUAAAACUAUCUUGCGGUUAUCUAAUUAAAUCCACCAAAUCCGUUAAUAAAACCAGUUUAAUUCAUAGAUUCAAAACCAUCUGAUUUUUGUAUUAUGAUAUGUGCGCCAACUGUACUCUAAAACUAAUAAAACUCGGCCAUGUGGUCUUCAUAUCGAUUAUAACAAUUGCAAAGCGAGGAACGACAAGUAAGUUGUAUCUACAAGUUUAAUUAUUGUAAUCUUCAUUUUAAAAAUUAAACUUAUUUUAUAAUUACCAUGUUAAUAUGUUUAAAGUUAAUAUGUUUUUGACCCAAGAAUAAACAUUAAGAUUAUUUUUGAGAAAUGAGCAGCCAAGAUACAGAAGGCGACGAAGAAGUUUCUGCAUUUUUUCGAAAUGUUCAAGAGAUCAGAGCCGAAGAGCUCUUGCCAACAGAAGUAAUGGACA